rnacentral:lncRNA from 1 species
ACACAACACUUCUGUUCACAUUCCAUUUGCCAAAGAUAUUUACAUACCUUCCCUACACACCUACCUUCAAGAGCAGGAGUAUAAUCCUAUGGAUUUCCCAGAAGGAGAAUUAAAAAUAUUUGAUAAACUUAAAUGACAGCCACCCUGAACUUGAAUUCAUUCUAGUCCACCUAAACCCUGUGCUGAAGUGUAUUUUAAUUAGGAAUUCAUACAUCAGGUACUUGGGUCUCAUAGAUACAUCUAAACUUCAGCCAAUACAUCUGGAAAGUUGGCCCUUCAUAAACAUGAAAAUGACCUUAGGUGUAGUAGCAGAGUUUAAAGGAGUAGAUGAUUAGUCAGCACUAGAGGUGGAGUUGUGGGGGCAUGCUAAGAAGGGGCCAAGGAAUAAGCAUAUCCAAGAAGAUAAUUCCAGUAUAGUAAAAAAGGAGACAGUAUUUGAAGUCAGAAGAUCAGUUUUAGCCCUAACUUUGGAACACAAUGCCUAAGUAAUUAUGUACCCAUUGUUUACCCUCUAGGAGCCUUAGUUUCUCCACCUGAAAGAUAAUCAAAUGUAUGACUCAUAAUAACUAUGUAACUAUCACUGAAAGGAAGAAUACUAGUGUUCUGAGCCAUGGGCAUGUCUGAGCUGACUUUUAAUAAGUCACAAUUUUGUCUCAGAAAAUAGAACUGGUAUUUGGCAUGGCACAAACUAAUAUCAUUUUUAUAUGUCAGCAACUCUAGUUUUAAAUCUAUAGGAUAUAAUCAAAAUAAAGGUAAUACUUUAUAAUACUUUACUGAAUUAUUUGACAGCAUAUCAUUCAUGGUUCAUAUCAGUUGCUAUCACUGAAGAGAAAAGGAUUCUAAGAAACCAGAUGAGCAAUAAAUCAAGUAACAGAACAGAAACAAAACCUGAACAAGAAAUUAACAUUAAAUGAACUUCACUGGAGGAAGGCAAAGUAAAAAAAUAGGACCAAAAUACUCUAAGAUGCAAAUAUCCUACUUCUGCUUCAAAAAGAGAAAAUGGGAAUUGGAAGGAGAACACAAGUCUUAAAGAGACAAGGGAAUGAAUGCCCAUGGAAGUUUCUCCAUUUCUUCAGCCUCUCACUGCCUAGCUCCCAGCAUCAAAGAACAGAGAUUCUGAUCCAGUGGUGAUAUCAGAAUUUUAGAAGCUCCUCGGAUAAUUCCUGCUCAAUUUGAGGACCGUUGCCCUAAGCUUGUUGUGCCAUACAGCCUUGUCUAAUGGCACUAUGGAAAAAGAGAAAGGAUAGGGUAUUAAUUGCAUCUUGUUCAACCUGAUUGUCUUCAGGUAAGAAGAAGCAAUAGCCUUUCAAGUGGAAGGGGCCCAACAGAUCUGGUUGGUAACCUGCACCGGGAAGAGGACAAUCAGAGGUAGAAGCAAUUUUGAGAAGCAUAAAGACCAAAGAGCAAUAUUCAAAUAGAGAUAAGCCAGGAGCCACUUUCAAAUAAGUGAAACUAAAAUGUCUGUUUUUUUCAAUGCAUAUAAAUGGAAGCUGAGGUUAUAGUGGCAAAAUCAGAAUUCAUCUUAAAAUCUGGACUCAUUCCACUGUACCACAGUCUUUUUCCAUGACUCAUGUCCCAAAUCUCAAAUAUAUAUGUCUCAAGCCCAGUGGUCAAGCAGUUACACUCAUCUCCUUGUAGUCUCUGAGGUUUUUACUGCCUGUGCACUCAUUUCACACUCUCUUAUUUAAUGCCUCCCACCACCAUUCAAUUCAUCAAGUUCUAGGUCAAGCCUAAUCUCCCUCUGAGGUCUUCCCACCAAAUACCCUAGUCUACAUAGCUUCCUCUCAUUUUAGAAAUCAUGUUACACUUCCAAUUGGUAUCCCAUAGACAAUUAUUACUUAAUGUCUGCAUUUAUAUAAAUUCUAUUUGUACAAUUACAGUUUAAGUUUUAUGUAAGUAGACACAAUGUUUUACUUCUUUUGUGGCUCUUAUAUUCGUUGGCACACUGCCAGGCACAUAAUGCAUACUCCUGAAAUAUAUAAUCAAGUGGUGUAUUAUAAAUAUUAAUAAUCCUCAAUGUUUUUAAGGAAAGAAUAUAAAAAGAAAGUGAGACAGAUUCCAAGGAGGAAAUGUGAUACAUAAUUACCAUGUUAAACUUGAUAAAUGGAUCUUUUUUAAUGGGAGUGUAUCC